UACGUAGGGAGCAAGCGUUGUCCGGAAUCAUUGGGCGUAAAGCGCGCGUAGGCGGCCCUGUAAGUCCGUUGUGAAAGUCAAAGGCUCAACCUUUGAAAGCCGAUGGAUACUGCAGGGCUAGAGUCCGGAAGAGGCGAGUGGAAUUCCUGGUGUAGCGGUGGAAUGCGCAGAUAUCAGGAGGAACACCGGUGGCGAAGGCGGAUCUCUGGGCCUUACCUGACGCUCAGGCGCGAAAGCUAGGGGAGCGAACAGG
rnacentral:rRNA from 1 species